ACGGGUGAGUAACACGUGAGUAACCUGCCCCUGACUCUGGGAUAAGCGUUGGAAACGACGUCUAAUACUGGAUAUGACUGCUGGCCGCAUGGUCUGGUGGUGGAAAGAUUUUUUGGUUGGGGAUGGACUCGCGGCCUAUCAGCUUGUUGGUGAGGUAAUGGCUCACCAAGGCGACGACGGGUAGCCGGCCUGAGAGGGUGACCGGCCACACUGGGACUGAGACACGGCCCAGACUCCUACGGGAGGCAGCAGUGGGGAAUAUUGCACAAUGGGCGAAAGCCUGAUGCAGCAACGCCGCGUGAGGGAUGACGGCCUUCGGGUUGUAAACCUCUUUUAGUAGGGAAGAAGCGUAAGUGACGGUACCUGCAGAAAAAGCACCGGCUAACUACGUGCCAGCAGCCGCGGUAAUACGUAGGGUGCAAGCGUUGUCCGGAAUUAUUGGGCGUAAAGAGCUCGUAGGCGGUUUGUCGCGUCUGCUGUGAAAUCCCGAGGCUCAACCUCGGGCUUGCAGUGGGUACGGGCAGACUAGAGUGCGGUAGGGGAGAUUGGAAUUCCUGGUGUAGCGGUGGAAUGCGCAGA
rnacentral:rRNA from 1 species